UAGGUAAUUAGACACUCUACUGUUUCAUGUGGCAAGGCAAAACUGGGAUCGAGUUGAUAAAUCCAAAUAGGAUUGCUGUUUUCUAUGCGUGGAUGUUUCUCUUCCAGUUUUGAACAAAUAUGUCGAACAAAGAGUAGGUUGUUUGAUCGAUGCUGGUUUACUAAAAGAAGUCUAUGAUAUUUACCAUGCAAAUGCGAUUAUACUCGAGGCAUAUGCCAAGGUGUCAGGGAAUUCGAGGAUUGUUUAGGUUAUUACUUCUCCAACAAAAAGACUUCAGAUGACUGUGUUGGAAAUCAGUAUCCACUGGAAACAAAUUUGGAGGAUGAGGUUUUGAAAGAAAACUUGAAGAAACACCAAAAGACUUGUUCGGCGUCAGAAAAAGAGGCUUAACAGGUUGCAAACAAUUUUUGGACGGGACCAGCAUUAAGUAGAUGCAACUGAAGCUUUUCUUGGUGACUUCAAUGAGGCAUGGGCAAAACAGGUGGUUGAACCGUCUGUCAACAUUAUCAAAUCAUUCUUGCAUUAGGAUCCAAGCUCUAUUCCCAACUCAGAAAAGCCCGACCAAGUACAGACUAAGACGAAGGAUGCGAGGGAUUGGUGAACUCCAUUUGUUUGCGAGGCUUGUGGGAAUCCGUUUCGUGGAGCACAUGAGUGGGAACAACAUAAACUGGGUCGCGGGCAUAAAAACCGUUUUCUUCAUCUUAAGAAGAAUUCUUAAGGAGUGGGAGUAUGGCGAUGAUGAUGAUGAUGUUUAUGAAAACAGUGAGAAACAGAGAUGAUGAUAGCAACGGAACAAAGAUGACAAAUAAAUGAGAACAGCAACAAACAACAAAAGUCCGAGAGAAUAAGAAUGAGGAAGUAAUGGAGUUGCAGAGAAUGUUGGGUUUUGAAUGCAGGGAGAAGAACAAGGAAGGGUAAUAAAGGAGAAUUAGUGGAGAACGUGGCAGCAAAUGAAACGGCAUAGCAGCGGUUGAGGAAGGCGAAGCGGUUCCUCCCCACCGUGUCAGCUACACGAGUGGGAAGGGGAAUAGUUGAUAAGUGUAGGUGGCACAAUCCCAUACGAUGACGCACCAAAAUAAAAGAACUAUAGUAAGCCAAGCCCUGGUGUUCUGUUUCGCCUUCCUCAACCGUUGCUAUGCCAUUUCAUUUGCUGCCACGUUCUCCACUAAUUCUCCUUUAUUACCCUUCCUUGUUCUUCUCUCUGCAUUCAAAGCCCAACCUUCUCUUCAACUCCAUUACUUCCUCAUUGUUAUUCUCUCGGACUUUUGUUCUUUGUUGCUGUUCUCAUCUAUUUGUCAUCUUUGUUCCGUCGCUAUCAUCAUCUCUGUUUCUCACAGUUUUCAUAAACAUCAUCAUCAUCGUCAUACUCCCACUCCUUAAUUAUCUUCAAUAGCUUCACCAUCUCCAUCCAAUGUUGAUCAGGUAUGAUUUCGAUCGCUUCGGGUUAUUUUUAGGGAUUUAAUUUGGAGGAAUGGUAAUUUUAUUGUAGGAAUUCCUCAUCAUCUAUUGGGAAAUAUCAGCCCUAAUGUUGAAUUGACGUCGAAGGAUUUUCGUGAUGCUGCAAUUCAAUCUUUGAAUUACUUGAAUUCUACUUUGAAACGGAGGGAGUAGAUUUUUGGAAUUAGUUAUUUAUAUUAAUAGCGUUAACUAUAGAAUUCAGGCUUUGGUGAGUCCGACAGAAGAUAUGGACAAUGUUGGUGGUAGUUCCUUGCCUGCGAUAGGCAAUCAGAUUGUAAGUAUGAGUUGGGAAAUGAUGGGUCUACGAAUAACUAUAAUCUUCUUAAAGAGCUCGUUUGAGAUGCUCCCAACAGGAUUCAUCCGAAUGUUUGUAGAAAAGUAAAUCAGUACCUUAGCUUGUAUGAACGCUCAGGUGUCAUCCCCAGCAAACUUUUCCAAAGAAAAAAUGCAGAGGUUUGUGCUCCUUGCCAAUUCAAAUUUCUGCAAGAUCAAGUUAAUCCUUGGAACUUACAUCUGCUUGGAAUUGGAAAUCUGUAAUGUACGGCAAAGAACCAGACAUGCCUACAUGUGGACUUACAUGUGUUUGACAAUUCAUCUUCGGUAAUUAGAUACUCUACUGUUUCAUGUGGCAAGGCAAAACUGGGUCGAGUUGAUAAAUCCAAAUAGGAUUGCUGUUUUCUAUGCGUGGAUUUUUCUCUUCCAGUUUUGGACAAAUAUGUUGAAUAAACAGUAGGUUGUAUGAUCGAUGCUGGUUUACUGAAAGAAGUCUAUGAUAUUUACCAUGCAAAUGCGAUUUAAUACUCGAGGCGUAUGCCAAGCUAUAGGUGUCGGGGAAUUCGAGGAUUAUUUAGGUUAUUACUUCUCCAACAAAAAGACUUCAGAUGACCGUGUUGGAGAUCAGUAUCCACUGGAAGCAACUUUGGAGGAUGAGGUUUUGAAAGAAAACUUGAAGGAAAUUUUGAAUUCUGAUUGUUAGUUGAAGCUAUUGACCAACUAAAGAAAAAUACCAAAAGACUUGUUUGGCGUCAGAAAGGAGGCUUAACAGGUUGCAAACAAUUUUUGGACGGGACCUGCAUUAAGUAGAUGCAACUGAAGCUUUUCUUGGUGACUUCAAUGAGGCAUGGGCAAAACAGGUGGUUGAACCGUGUGUCACUGUCAACAUUAUCAGAUCAUUCUUGCACGAGGUUUCAAGCUCUAUUCCCAACUCAAAAGCUCGACCCAGUAGACUUAGACAAAGGAUGCGAGGGAUUGGUGGACUCCAUUUGUUUGCGAGGCUUGUGGGAAUCGGUUGUUCGUGGAGCACAUGAGUGGGAACAACAUAAACUGGGUCGCGGGCGUAAAAAGCGUUUUCUUCAUCUUAAGAAGAAUUCAUUCAACUCCAUCAGAAGGUAAAUAUUUAGUAGAGUAACUGAGUAAGAAACAAUUACAGAUAUAGAUUUGUAAGGAAUAACUUUAGUGUUGAAUAAACUUUAUUUGUUUAUUCUCGGGAUCAAAUCUAAUGAUUUUUCUAACAAGAUUUCUACUUUUUCACUAGGCCAGAUUUAGCAAAACUUAAAUACAUAUAAGACAAACGUUUGAAAUCAACAGAUAUUAUGAAUGUAUGGUCCAAAUUUGGAAAAAGUUUAUUCGUUGAAUUAUUUGUUCAUUUUC